GCUGCCGGCGGCGGUAUUUUCUCCGGUGACCGGCCGGCGACACUCCGGCGAGACCCUGAGAGGCAGAAUUCUCUUCUCUUCGUGCUGAUCGUGGAAUCUUCGCCCAAAUUUCAAAUGGAAGUAGCUCUUUCACUGUUAGAAAAGAGUUCUCUAAGUUUAGUAUUGGUCUAUUAAAUAGAUAAACGUCCGAAGGCUUAUCUGUAUUCAUUUGUUAGAGAACUCCGCAGUUAUAGGAUUUGUAUAUUUUUAUUCGUAUAUUAUUAUAGAUACAAUUAUUUUGUGAGCCUAAA